rnacentral:lncRNA from 1 species
ACAUUUCUCCAAAGCUAUAGCAAUAUUAAGUGGCACAAUCAUGGAAAUUGCAAAAGGAAGGUCAUGCACCAUGGAAGAUGGUAUACAGGGCAUGUUCUCAGUCUCUAGUGAAAGAGUUAGUGGAGUCUGCUGCCUUUACAGAGAACGUUAACAAGGAUUGAUAUACAGCCCUUUGCCCUCUGAUGCCAUAAUUAGUAUCGUCUUCCAUGAGACUACUCUUCCUGCUCCCCUUGGAAAACCAGAGACAAUGAGACUUUGGGAUUCUUUGCCAAAAGAUUUUACUGCUAAUGACAAACAGAAAUAUUCAUUCAGAUAAAACUAGGAUUAUGUACUAAAAGAAAUCAAGAUCCUGUAAAUAUCAUAAUUACUAAGGCUCAGGAUCUGAAAAUGAAAGAACACCUGAAAAGAGGACUAGAAAUUAUGUAAAAUAUGUAAAACAAAAAUAUGUUAGCUGAACUAUAGCCAAACUGUAUGAUUUUUAGUUAGCAAAUUCCAUAUGUAUUCUUCCUACUGAAAAUCGUACAAGUUUUCUGAUGGGAUCUUUGUAAGAAGUUUGUGUCAAUCUCAGGGAUUUAAAACCUGCUUGAAGAGUAUAACUUGAGCUUAACUAUGGAGCAGCUAAGGCCUUUCUAUAUAAAUUUUACAUAAGUUUACAGUGCUAGAGAGUGCCUGAUGGUUCACACAGCAAGUUAAAGAGCAGCCCCUAUCCACACUUCACAACCACAAUUGCUUAUGACAAGACAAUACAGAGGGGGGAAAAUACAAGGCUUUAUUUAAACCUCCCUACAGUAACUCAUGGUAAUUUGCCCUGAGCAACACACAAUUUUUCGUAGGAAAGCAGUAUUUUAAACAAUGCUGCUAUGCAGUGCCUGAGAUGUGGAAUAGAAAGGCAGUAGAACAUCUCAGAAACCUGUAGUAAACAGUUCUUGUUUGGCAAUAGUUGUGUAAAAAUAUAUGAAGAGAGAAGCCGAACAAAUCUUUGACUUUGACUGUAAUAAAAAGCUUACUUUACUCUUGGACUAUUUGCA